rnacentral:rRNA from 1 species
UACGUAGGGUGCAAGCGUUGUUCGGAAUUAUUGGGCGUAAAGAGCUCGUAGGCGGUUUGUCGCGUCUGCUGUGAAAACUCGGGGCUUAACCCUGGGCCUGCAGUGGGUACGGGCAGACUAGAGUGCGGUAGGGGAGACUGGAAUUCCUGGUGUAGCGGUGAAAUGCGCAGAUAUCAGGAGGAACACCGGUGGCGAAGGCGGGUCUCUGGGCCGUAACUGACGCUGAGGAGCGAAAGCGUGGGGAGCGAACAGG